rnacentral:rRNA from 1 species
UACGUAGGGGGCAAGCGUUGUCCGGAUUUAUUGGGCGUAAAGAGCGUGUAGGCGGCCAGGUAGGUCCGUUGUGAAAACUCGAGGCUCAACCUCGAGACGCCGAUGGAAACCAUCUGGCUAGAGUCCGGAAGAGAAGAGUGGAAUUCCUGGUGUAGCGGUGAAAUGCGCAGAUAUCAGGAGGAACACCAAUGGCGAAGGCAGCUCGCUGGGGACGGUACUGACGCUGAGACGCGAAAAGCGUGGGGGAGCAAAACAGG